CCCACCCUAGGGUCAGAGGUCCCUUGACUUAGGCCUGGUCUUCUGGGAGGCCGAGGGUGACAGGCUCAACCUCUGGCAGGCUCAAGGGAGGUGGCUGGGCCCUGGGCUUCCUGGAGACGGCAGGGCCUCCGCAGGGGAAUGCGGGAGGGGUCAGAACCAGGCAGGCCAAGGAACCCGCAGGGAGGCCCUGGGCCGGGAAUGGCAAACCGCCCAUCCUCCUGGGCCCUGGCCCAUGCCGACCCCCUCCCUCCAGGCUCCAGCCAGCCCCCACAAGAGGGGGAGGACAGACUCGGGGUGGCCAGAGACAAGUCUGUGGGGCUCGAAAGGUAGUACCUCCCUCGUGCGCUCCCCUCCCAGUCGGGCUGGGCUGACAGUGACUCCCGGGAGAUUUCGAACCCGGGAAGGAGGGUGUAAGGGAGGUGGGGGAUGGGUGUGGACGCCACGGCAGCUGCAACAGAAGCAACGGAAGCGGGACGAGCGACCUCCACCCACCUCCCGCCGGGAAGCACUCGGACGCCCACCUCCUCCAGAUUCACAAGCAUUUCCUGGCGCUGAGAAUGUGACAAUUCAGGAGUCUACUAGUAGGACCACUUCGUUACCGUCAAGGAGUUCCCAGUACUGACAGGCCAACAGACAAGCGCCAAGAGAUAACUGAUAAAAGUGAAGAAGUGGUGUACAAGGUCCACAGGAAGCAGAAAAGAGGGAAGGCCUAAUGAGACUUCACAGAGCUGGGACCUUAGGCAGAAGGAACAGCAUGGACAAAGGAGAGCUGGCUUCCGUGGGCUCCGUCAAGGCAAGAAGCUACGCCUGCCUCAUGCAGAGGCAAAGCCGUGACCUUCCAGAUAAGCCCUGUGUUCUCCUCAAGGGGCCUGAGACCCCACCCACCCAAAGCUGUCCUUGGGAGGACACCUGCAUCAGAGGCAUCAUGCGUUGGAAACCUCCCUUCUUGGAUGGCUGAGUUUAUCACGAGGACAAGGCAUUGCCCUGGGAGACCCAGGUUCUAGGGACAGACUGGCCUCUGAUUUGGGGCAAGUCCUCCCCAUCCAGGCCUCAGUUUCCCCUCCUGUGUACCGAAGGGUUGCAUCUGGUGAUCUCCUGCAGCUCUGACUUCGUGUGCACAGGUGGAGGCCCUGGGCAUGGGGAGGGUGGGCAGCUGCCAACGGACUCCAACUUCUGUCCCCCCGGGACCAGGGAGCUUCCAUUUACUGAGCACCUACUAUGUGCCCGAUACUUUAUUAUUGUUAUUGAUGAUGAUACUGAUAUUUACUGGACACUUACUAUGCACAAACAUUUUUAAUGUCAGAUUAAAGUCUCUUCUCUUUACUGCAACAGUUUGCUCUAAGGGGAUUUCUAAGGAAGCUUGUUUGUUUGUUUCCACCAUGAUGGUGGCAGAAGUCUUGGUGCUGAUGGUUUGGUGGCUUUUUGGCUUUUGUGGUUUUAGUGGUGGUGGUGACCCAACCGAGAGGCCAUUGAGAGCUGGAGGACCUCACUCUUGUGGCUUGAGGCAGCCGGUACAUAGGGCUUCCUCGACCACACCACAGGGGUUAAUUGGCUGGUCUCCUGACCUUGAAGGUCAUGGGUCUGGGCUUCGCAAUUCAGAAUCUCUCUGGAGCAGGCAGAUGCAAAACCAAGUUCAUGACAUGAAUUGGUCAAGGAACCUGGGAUCCCUGCAAACUAUCUGGUGCCUUCCUCCAGGAAGGCAUAUUUCCUCCAGAAAUGUGGCACAUAUUUCUUUCCUCCUUGGUCCUUGGUCUUGCAAUGUUCUGUCUGGUGGGGCACAGAUGUUAAACAGCGUGAUGAGAGUUACUAGGAGGGAUGUGCAGGUGUGAUGCAGGUGCACAGCAGAGGAGCCCUCCUCACCUGAGUGCUCAGACCCUGCAGGAGGAGAGAUGCCUGGGAUAGUAGGAGCAGAGGCCCUGGAGCUGGAAGGGGUUGAGCUUUGGGAGAAGCAGAAAGAGGCUAGGAUGGGCUGAGGGGCAGGGCAUGCGGGGCAGUCUUGGGAGCAGAGGUCAGUGACCAGAGCCUGCAGGGCCUCCUGUGUCCACCUCAGGGCAGAGGGACCCUGCUCUUUGAGGGUUUCACCAACGCCUCAGCUGUGUGUUUGCAUUUUUAAAAAAAUAUUUAUUUUUUGGCUGCGUUGGGUCUUCGCUGCUGCACGCAGGGCUUCUCUAGUUGCGGCGAGCAGGGGCUACUCUUCAUUGCAGUGUGCGGGCUUUGCGUUGCAGUGGCUUCUCUUGUUGUGGAGCACAGGAUCAAGGUGCACAGGCAUCAGUAGUUGUGGCGCACAGGCUCAGUAGUUGCGGCUUGCGGGCUCUAGAGCACAGGCUCAGUAGUUGUGGCGCACGGGUUUAGUUGCUCUGUGUAUGUGGGAUCAUCCCGGACCAGGGAUCAAACCUGUGUCCCCUGCGUUGGCAGGCAGAUUCUUAACCACUGUAACACCAGGGAAGUCCCUGUGUUUGCUUUUUUUUUUUUUUUGUGGUACGCGGGCCUCUCACUGUUGUGGCCUCUCCUGUUGCGCUCCGGACGCGCAGGCCCAGCGGCCAUGGCUCAUGGGCCUAGCCGUCCCGCCGCGGCAUGUGGGAUCUUCCUGGACCAGGGCACGAACCCGUGUCCCCUGCAUCGGCAGGCGGACUCUCAACCACUGUGCCACCAGGGAAGCCCUGUGUUUGCAUUUUUAAAAGAUCACUUCUUCCUGUUGAUGGAGAAUUGACUGGCUUUUUGUCCUCCAGGAAGCUGCAAUGGCCUUUCCCAAAUCCCCAGGCUAGAUCACUGCCCUCUGCAGUGCCCCUCAGUGGGCCCUCUUCUCAGCUUUGUAGCAUUGACUACCUGCUUUGUGCAAGUUUCCUGGUCUGCCACUGGAGGCUGAACCAUGGUGUUCAGAUGUUGGUUGAAUGACUGAGUGAUGUGAAUUUUAAUAAAUAAUAAUAAUAAUAAUAGUUAACACCGAUAUAGGCUUUACCAUAUGCCAGACACUGUCCUAAGCACUUUACAUGUCUUAAGUGUCAUUUAAUCCUUGUAAUAUAUUUCCAAGGUAUGUAUCAUUAUUCUCUCCAUUUUGCAGAAAAGGAACUGAAGGGGAUUCCAUGAGGGAACUCAGCCACCAGACCCUGCGUAGGAGAGGAAGGAUUCAGGAUGCCAUUGUAUCAUUCUCACCCAAUUUAUUUUAACAGCUUCUGGGUUAGAGUCCUGGCCUCACUCCUGCCCAGCUGUGUGACCUUAAGUAAAGGUCAUAUAACUUUCUGAGCCUCAGUUUCCUGAUCUCUAAAAUGAGAGGCUCACCUCACUUGUGAUGCUAAACAGAGAAGAAGAAAAGCUCAUCACUUAGCGCAGUGCUUUGGCCCCAGGCACACUUGCACUCACUGGCAGUGAGAUGAAUAUUUUUUUCUCUGACUCCUGAAACAGGCUGUGUAGUACUGGCUCUCCCCUGCUGUCCUCUAAGUCCAGCUUCCUGAGGCUUUUGUCUGUUCCUGAGCCUACAGUUUCACAAUGGCUUGUGAACAGUAACCCUCCUCCAUCCA